AAUGAGUGAAGCCCACUUCUGGUGUCCCCCGCCGUGAUGUUGCUGGAAUAUUGCUAAAAGCGGCGUAAAACCAGACUCAGUCAGUCAGUAAAGCUAUUUUUGCAGAUUUUAUCUUGUGUACUUGAUAAUGAGCUGAGAAUGUUCUAAGUGAAACUCUCAGAAGUUUCAUCAAUACUGGCCAGGUUCUAACCCGGAACUUCACGUGGUGAUUACGAUUGCUGUAUAAGUCGUGAGGAAAUUCACCGAUUGGCACAUACCAAAACCGUCACUCAUAUCCAGGUUACAGGCCCAUGAUGUAUGUUAGUGUUGGCACGUCAGUGAUUAUUUCCGCUGGUUUUAUUUGACCAACGACAACAUUGCCAUAGCUGUCCCAUUCCCCAAUGAAUGCACAACGCAUCUAUUCUUAAACAGAUAAGAAUGUCCUUGAAGAUAGCGUUCUGUUCGUCGUGUACUACAUUCGGACUACAUGGCAAACUUGGCCACUGAUUCACGUCAAUUCAGAUCAGCUUUUGUUUUCCUGACUGAAGAGCUUCCACUGUGUGGCAUCUUGGAGCAUCUGGAUGGACUGCUGGCUCCUCAGGACCCAUUCUGGCUCCCUCUGGCUGUGGAUGGGGGGCACACAUGGCUUCAUAAAUCUGUCUAAAAAUAAAAUGAUAGAAAUGUGCAUGUAAUUUUCAUAUAAAUGUUCUUUCAAUUUUAA